rnacentral:lncRNA from 1 species
GGUAGCAAGAACCUUUACCUACUGAAUCAUCUUGCUAGGCCUCUUGUUUUGAGUUUGAAACAAAAAUCUCACUUUAUUGUCCAUACCAGCCUCAGACUCCCAGUCUUCUUAUCUCAGUUUCCCAAGUAGCUGGACUGCAAAGGCAAGCCACUGAACUCGACAAACUACAAUGCUUUCAACAGGCCCUGCUGGCUCUGACUCUGUAUUCAUGAAGCGCCCAGGUAUGUGUGCAUGUGCUCAGUUCCGACAAACUGUUGGAAACCCCAAGCAGCAGGUAAGACAUUGAGCCUUCACCCUGAAAGUGGAGUCUCCAUGAGAGACAGCUUCCUUCUGUCACGUGUGUGUCCUCUAAAUCUGUAGAGAUGACACUGAGCCCUCAAUAAGUGCUUGCUACCUCUGUCUGUCUGUCUGUCUGUCUGUCUGUCUUUUUUCUUUCAGUGUGAGUACUAUGUUGCUUUCUUCAGACACCCCAGAAGAGGGCAUCAGAUUCCAUUACAGAUGGUUGUGAGCCACCACGUGAUUGCUGGGAACUGAACUCAGGACCUCUGGAAGAGUAGUUAGUGCUCUUAACCACUGAGCCAUCUCUCCAGCCCAUUUUUUUGUUUUUUUGUUUUUGAGACAGAGUUUCUCUGUGUAGCUCUGGUUAUUCUAGAGCUUGCUCUGUAGACCAGGCUGACUUCGAACUCAUAGAGAUCUACCUGCCUCCCAGGUGCUGGGGCUAAAGGUGUGUCUCCCUACCACCCAACUAUGCAGCUAUUAAAACUGGUGGUUUUCCCAGGAGUGCAAUUAGCCUGUGC